CACCGCACACAGAUCGUGCCCCACCUCCCCUCGCCGCCCGCCUGCGGCCGGAGCAGGGCCGGGCAGCCCAGAGGGCCUGAGGCCUUGCGGCCUCGCGCAGCACCCAGUGUUCUGCGUGGAGCCCAAAGCACCGGGGGUGCUUGGCAGCUUCUGGGCGGCGGGCUGGCGGGCGAGCCCACUGGCCCCAGUUCUUCAUCGGGGCACCAGCUGGUGGAGCCACCUCCUCGUCCAGUGGGCCUGCUUCCCUGAGUCACUCCAAGCGACUAUAAAAAUGAUGUCAGACAAAAAGCAAAUUUAAGCAAUUUUCUUAUUUGAGUUCCAAAUGGGUCAUAAAACAGCAGAGACAAUUUGCAACAUCAACAACACAUUUGGCUCAGGAACUGCUAAUGAAGGUACAGUGCAGUAGUGGUUCAGGAAGUUUUGCAAAGGAGAAGAGAGCCUUGAAGAUGAGGAGCAUAGUGGCUGGCCAUCAGAAGUUGACAACAACCAACUGAGAACAGUCAUUGAAGCUGAACCUCUUACAAUGACGCGAGAAGUUGCUGAAAAACUCAACAUCUACCAUUCUAUGGUUGUUUGACAUUUGAAGCAAAUUGGAGAGGUGAAGAAGCUCAGUAAGUACCCACUCAUAGGUGCCUCAUAAGCUGAGAAAAAUAAACGUCGUUUUGAAGUGUCAUCUUCUCUUAUUCUAUGCAACAACAAUGAACCACUUCUUGAACGAAUUGUGAUGUGCGACAAAAAUGAAUUUCAUAUGACAACCGAUGACGACCAGCUCAGUGGUUGGAACUAGAUUCUUCUAGCUCCAAAGCACUUCCCAAAGCCGAACUUGCACCAAAAAAGGUCAUAGUCACUGUUUGGUGGUCUCUUGCCAGUCUGAUCCACUACAACUUUCUGAAUCCCAGUGAAAUCAUUACAUCUGAGAAUUAUGCUCAGCAAAUUGAUGAGAUGCAUCAAAAACUGAGAGACCUGCAGAAAGGUCAACAGAACGGGGCCCAAUUCUUCUCCACGAUGUCGCCAGAAUGCACAUUGCACAACAAAUGCUUCCAAAAGUUGAGCAAACUGGGUUACGAAAUUCUGCCUCAUUUGCCAUAUUCCCCUGACCUCUCACCAAUCGACUACCACUUCUUCAAGGAUCUCGACAACCUUUUGCAGGAAAAUGCUUCCUCGGCCAGCAGGAUGCAGAAAAUGAUCUCCAAGAGUUCACUGAAUCCUGAAGCACGGAUUUUUAUGCUACAGGAAUAAACAAACUUAUUACUUGUUGGCAAA